GAUGUUUGAGCCCCAGCAUAGAUCAGCAUGCCAGGAAGCAGCCCACCGGACCCACCCCUGAUCAUGGCACUGGACAUUGUUUUCCGUGCUUUUCUCAGGCUGGUUUCUGCCUGUCCCAACCCUGGCCAUGGCUGACAAGGGGCCCAGGGACACUGGAGCAGAGAGACCUGCUGGUCCUUGGGGUUUCUUGCAAGGUAGGACUCUACAUCCUCCCUUGGGAACUAAUUGAUCUGUCAGUAAAAUGUAAACUUCUGACUCCAUGGGUCUGUGAAUCAGCUGCCUCUAAAGGGAAAUAUCCCAGGAGUGAUGAAAACUUGAAGAUCGAGGAUUGGAUAUAAGCUCAGAGGUGAAGGAGGGAAAUUCCUCGGGUCAACUUUAGCGGACUGAUCCACGGGGUCUGCCAAGAGACAGGAGCUCGAGGGUUAAACCCAAGCACUCGGGAGUCAGAUGUAUGAAUCUGAAUCUCAGCCUCUCGGCUUGCUGUGUAAUCUCAGGCAAGUGACUUUUCUGUUCUGUAAAUCAGGCUGAUAGCGGGGGAACCUCUCUCACAGGGCUGCUACAAAGAUUGCAUGAGAUUUUGCUCAACAAAUAUUAGCUGUUGGCUCCAGAGUUUAAUACCUCUGAUCACUACAAGCUUUGAAGGCAAGAUAAAAUAACUUCAACAUGGUGAAUCAUCUGUGAACACUUCCUGUGAACGUGUGACUAUGAUUAUGGAACACUCUGUUGCAUCAAGAUGGCCAGAGAUUGUCUCAGAGUCCAGGCAGUGGGAGGAGGGGGGAUUUGUUUCCUGGCUGGGUGGUCGUAGGGCAUCAAGGGAUGAGCAGCUUUGGUUGUCUGGGAUUUCAGCAGCUUGAGGGGAGCUGUAGGGCCCCAGAGCUGUCGCUGUGGCUGUGGUGUCAGAAAUGUAAGCAAGGUGCCUCCAUGGAGGUUAGCGAGGGUGCCCCUCUGAAUGCCGGGUGGAAUGCAACCUUUCGCAUGGAGGAGGCCCUCAGCAGCUGACCUCUGUCUUCCCUGUGUAGAGGGAGGGAGGCUGAGGCUGGGGCUGAGCGAGGGGUAAAGUAAGCCACGUGUCUCAUCAGCUAGCCUGCAGCAAGCACAGCCCUCUGGGAGGGCUGGUUCUAUCCUCCUCCUUGGUGUGAAAUCCAUCAAUCUAAUAGGGAUCCUUAUUUUCCCAGCCACCAAGUCACAAUGAGCAAUAAUCUCU
rnacentral:lncRNA from 10 species